GACGAACGCUGGCGGCGUGCUUAACACAUGCAAGUCGAACGGAAAGGCCCUGCUUUUGUGGGGUUCUCGAGUGGCGAACGGGUGAGUAACACGUGAGUAACCUGCCCUUGACUUUGGGAUAACUUCAGGAAACUGGGGCUACUACCGGAUAGGAGCUCCUGCUGCAUGGUGGGGGUUGGAAAGUUGCGGCGGUCGGGGAUGGACUGGCGGCUUAUCAGCUUGUUGGUGGGGUAGUGGCUUACCAAGGCUGUGACGGGUAGCCGGCCUGAGAGGGUGAACGGGCACAAUGGGACUGAGAUACGGACCAGACGCGUACGGGAGGCAACAGUGGGGAAUAUUGCACAAUGGGCGGGAGCCUGAGGCAGCAGCGUCGCGUGCGGGAUGACGGCCUGCGGGUUGUGAACCGCUUUCGCCUGUGACGAAGCGUGAGUGACGGUAAUGGGUAAAGAAGCACCGGCUAACUACGUG
rnacentral:rRNA from 1 species